rnacentral:rRNA from 1 species
GACGAACGCUGGCGGCGUGCUUAACACAUGCAAGUCGAACGGAAAGGCCCUGCUUUUGUGGGGUGCUCGAGUGGCGAACGGGGGAGUAACACGUGAGUAACCUGCCCUUGACUUUGGGAUAACUUCAGGAAACUGGGGCUAAUACCGGAUAGGAGCUCCUGCUGCAUGGUGGGGGUUGGAAAGUUUCGGCGGUUGGGGAUGGACUCGCGGCUUAUCAGCUGGUUGGUGGGGUAGUGGCUUACCAAGGCUUUGACGGGUAGCCGGCCUGAGAGGGUGACCGGCCACAUUGGGACUGAGAUACGGCCCAGACUCCUACGGGAGGCAGCAGUGGGGAAUAUUGCACAAUGGGCGGAAGCCUGAUGCAGCAACGCCGCGUGCGGGAUGACGGCCUUCGGGCUGUAAACCGCUUUCGCCUGUGACGAAGCGUGAGUGACGGUAAUGGGUAAAGAAGCACCGGCUAACUACGUG